GACGAACGCUGGCGGCGUGCCUAAUACAUGCAAGUAGAACGCUGAAGGAGGAGCUUGCUCUUCUGGAGGAGUUGCGAACGGGUGAGUAACGCGUAGGUAACCUGCCUGGUAGCGGGGGAUAACUAUUGGAAACGAUAGCUAAUACCGCAUAAGAGUAGAUGUUGCAUGACAUUUACUUAAAAGGUGCAAUUGCCUCACUACCAGAUGGACCUGCGUUGUAUUAGCUAGUUGGUGGGGUAACGGCUUACCAAGGCGACGAUACAUAGCCGACUUGAGAGGGUGGACCGCCACACUGGGACUGAGACACGGCCCAGAAUUCUUCGGGAAGCAGCAGUAGGGAAUCUUCGGCAAUGGACGGAAGUCUGACCGAGCAAAGCCGCGUGAGUGAAGAAGGGUUUCGGAUCGUAAAGCUCUGUUGUAAGAGAAGAAAGAGUGUGAGGGUGGAAAGUUCACACUGUGACGGUACCUUAACAGAAAGGGACGGCUAACUACGUG
rnacentral:rRNA from 1 species